CUAUUGUGUACUGUGUUCUGAGGGACCCUAACAUCUGAUGCUAGAACUCCUGUUUCAGGAAACUUAUGGUGACAUGCACACAGGAGUAAUUCUACAGUCAGACAAGAAAGAAAGAUUACUGUGACUUGGUCUACAAAAGAACACUGUCCAGUGUCACAGGGAGAGGUCACCUGUAGUUUAGAGGCCGAGGAAAGUAUAGGGGAACCAAGAGAGUAGAGAGUGUUGGAGUCAAGCCCUGAAGAAUUACUAAGGUUUGGCCAGAAUCUAGAAUCUAAACUAGAAGAAAGUUUGAGAAUUCUACUUUCUUCUACUCAACUAUAGGACAUUCCUAGUCAUCAUGCCCCAGGAAUUACCUGCGUGAGCUCCCAAAGAAGUCUUUCUUGCCUUCUAUUAUCCUCAAUCAGUUUUCAGCUCUGGGAAUUUGUCUUUUCUCACUCGCCAAAGCCACAGCUCAGAGCAACCAUCAGAAAAUGAUUAACACUGUCUGUCUGUGCUGCAGCCGUCGGACAAUCACAAAGACUGGGAAGCCACCAUCACCUUCCUUGCAGAUGGUACAGAAGAAGACAGAAGGCAAGGCCUACUCAUUCCUCUAGACUACCCCUAUGCCCCCUUCCUUGCCUUGCUCCCACUAAGAAAGCUGCUUUCAUCUUUAUCUGAG
rnacentral:lncRNA from 1 species